rnacentral:lncRNA from 1 species
CGCCAUCCCCUAGUUGGCAUCUUAUUUCGUCUUCAUAGGGCGCCAUCCCCUAGUUGACAUCUUAUUUCGUCUUCAUAGGGCGCCAUCCCCUAGCUGACAUCUUAUUCGUCUUCAUAGGGCACUAUCCCUAGUCGACAUCCUUACUCGUCUUCAUAGGGCACUAUCCCCUAGUCGACAUCUUAUUUCGUCUUCAUAGGGCGCCAUCCCCUAGUUGACAUCUUAUUCGUCUUUCAUAGGGCACCAUCCCCUAGUUGACAUCUUAUUCGUCUUUCAUAGGGCCCCAUCCCCUAGUUGACAUCUUAAUCGUCUUCAUAGGGCACUAUCCC